AACCCAUGGUGAGGGCACCUUCUCAAUAAGUCAUUAUACCUCUCCUAUGCAUCAUAUAGGGUCUCUAAAUAAAUCUGAAUAAAGGAAGAGAUAUCAUUCCUCAACUU
rfam:Gossypium hirsutum cultivar TM-1 chromosome 4, whole genome shotgun sequence